UCUUGCUGGUGUGACGCACUUCCGGGGCGGGGGGAGAGGAAGAUGGCGGCGCCCGUCGAGGUAGCCGUGUGUACAGACUCGUCCGCCCAGUUGUGGAGCUGCGUCGUAUGGGAGCUCCACUCGGGCGCUAACCUGCUCACGUACCGCGGCGGCCAGGCUGGGCCCCGUGGUCUGACGCUGCUCAAUGGCGAAUACCUGCUGGCGGCGCAGCUGGGCAAGAACUACAUCAGCGCCUGGGAGCUGCAACGGAAGGACCAGCUCCAGCAGAAGAUCAUGUGCCCCGGGCCUGUUACCUGUCUGACCACAUCACCCAACGGCCUCUAUAUGUUGGCAGGGAUUGCAGAGAGCAUAUACCUAUGGGAGGUCUCCACAGGGAACCUCCUGGUCAUCCUGAGCCGCCACUACCAGGACAUCUCCUGCCUGCAGUUCACAGGGGACAGCAGCCACUUUCUCUCGGGCGGCAAGGACUGCCUGGUGCUGGUGUGGAGCCUGUGCAGCGUGCUACAGGUGGACUCCUCCAGGACCCCAGCCCCUCGGCAUGUUUGGUCCCACCAUACCCUCCCCAUCACAGACAUGCACUGUGGCUUUGGGGGUCCCUUGGCCCGGGUGGCCACAGCAUCGCUGGACCAGACGGUGAAGGGCUGCUCUGCUCCCUGCACCAUUGGGACCCCAGUGUCUGUUGAGCCCCAUCCCAUGUCCGCCUGCCCCCAGCUGUGGGAGAUCUCCUCGGGCGAGCUGCUGCUCUCUGUGCUCUUUGACGUGGGGAUUAUGGCUGUGACCAUGGACCUAGCUGAGCAUCACAUGUUCUGCGGUGGCAGCGAGGGCUCCAUCUUCCAGGUCGACCUCUGCACCUGGCCUGGACAGAGCGAGAAGAGCUUCCAGUCAGAACAGGACAGCGGGAAGGUGUUCAAAGGCCACAGGAACCAGGUGACCUGCCUGUCAGUGUCCACUGAUGGCAGCGUGCUGCUCUCCGGCUCACAUGACGAGACCGUGCGCGUCUGGGACAUCCAGAGCAAGCAGUGCAUCAGGACAGUGACCCUCAAAGGUCCCGUGACCAACGCCUUCAUUAUGCUGGCGCCGGUCAGCAUGCUGAGCUCCGACUUCCGGCCCAGCCUGCCCCUGCCACACUUCAACAAGCACCUGCUGGGCGCUGAGCAUGGGGAUGAGCAGCGCCGCGGGGGCCUUACUCUGCGCCUGGGCCUCCACCAGCAGGGAUCGGAGCCCAGCUACCUGGAGCGAGCAGAGCAGCUGCACAUGGUAAUGUGCAGCACAAUGGAAAAGGUGGAGGGUCACCUAAGUGAACUGAAAACGGACUCAGAACCUGCACCCCCAUGGCCACAGCAGCAUGUUCACAAUGGCCCAAAGGAGCAGCCCAUGUCUCAGUGGAUGGGUGGGUAAACACUAUGAGGUCAUCCAGAAGGUGGGCUAUGUAUUAUUCAGACAUUCUACACCUGCUACAACAUGGAUGAACCUUGAGGACAUGCUCAGUGACAAACGAGUCACCAAAGGCUGUUGGUUGACUGCCUGAAUCUCUGAUGAAGGGUGCACACCACGUUAAAAGCACACCCGGGUGGGUGGAUAUGGAUAGACACCACUUUUUGGAGGUGGGAGGUGCUGCUGCCUGACCAUGGAGGCAAAUCCUGGCCAUUUCCCUGAGUGAACAAUGGGCCACCACGCUCCCAGGCUGGAGGGGAAUCCUGGAGUGGAACAGGGGUAGGUAUGGGGACAAUUUUUGACCAAAAUCUCUCCCUGGUGGCAGCCUCACUUUCCUCCCCUGGCACAGAGAGGGGAAGAACAGUGGUUAUUUCCAGCCCCCAUGCCGUGUGGCCAUUUGAGCCUUUGUGUCCCAGCCUGGGAAGUGUGUCCAGCUCCUCCCUAGUGGCUCGUUGGCAUUGCCGGGGGGCAGGGAGUGGCCAGGGCGGGCGCCGGACUGUGGGGCCGGGCGGGGAAGGGUGUGGCCUGG